AGUUGCUUCAAGAUUCAGAGCAACCUGAGAAGGUUGAAAGUUUUCUUGGAAUCAUGGAAGGUCAAGCUGAAAGGAUGCUUUCAAGUUAUUUAAAUCCACAUGUGAAACCUGGAGAGGGAGAAUUUGGGAUUAAAGACUGAAUUCACAUUCUUUCUAACCAGUGGCCUUUUUUGGACUGUUAAAUCCUUGAUGCCAAAAGCUUCUGAUUGUGAAGCUAAUGAACCAAUGCCUAGUGUGAUUACCUCCAACUGCUAAAUGUAAUCCAAAGAACAUGCCUGAUUGCAAACAAUCUUGCCAAGCAUAGACAAAGGAAGACCAUUCAUUAAAACUACUUGUUUUCGAGCAGAUUCCAGCCCAGAUUUUAUUCAGCUGCCUAAUCAAGGAAGACUGCUUUCACUUUCUGCAAACUAGGCAGUAAAAGCCACAGAGGCCAAUGGCCUCCUGUAGAUUUUUCUAGGAGUUGGCAAACUAUGGCCCAUCAGCCACAUCUGACCUGCUUUCCUGUUUUGUAAAGCCCAUGAGCUAAGAAUAUUUUGUACAUUUUUAGAUGGUUGGGGAAAAAUCAAAAGAAGAUUACUAUUUUGUUAUGCCUGAGAAUGAAAUAAAAUUCACAUUUCAGUGUCCAUAAGUAAAGUUUUAU
rnacentral:lncRNA from 1 species